rnacentral:rRNA from 1 species
CAAUAGCGUAUAUUAAAGUUGUUGCGGUUAAAAAGCUCGUAGUUGGAUUUCUGUUGAGGACGACCGGUCCGCCCUCUGGGUGAGUAUCUGGCUCGGCCUUGGCAUCUUCUUGGAGAACGUAACUGCACUUGACUGUGUGGUGCGGUAUCCAGGACUUUUACUUUGAAAAAUCAGAGUGUUUCUAGCAGGCAGCUCGCUCUUGCAUAGGUUAGCAUGGGAUAAUUUAAUAGGACUCUGGUGCUAUUUUGUUGGUUUCGAACACCGGAGUAAUGAUUAAAAGGGGCAGUCAGGGGCACUCGUAUUCCGUCGAGAGAGGUGAAAUUCUCAGACCAAUGGAAGACGAACCACUGCGAAAGCAUUUGCCAGGGAUGUUUUCACUGAUCAAGAACGAAAGUUAGGGGAUCGAAGACGAUUAGAUACCGU